rnacentral:rRNA from 1 species
CAAUAGCGUAUAUUAAAGUUGUUGCAGUUAAAAAGCUCGUAGUUGGAUUUCUGGUUGAAGCGACCGGUCGGGCGUUGAUUCGUCUGCACUGGAGUCGGUUUUGGCCAUCCUCUAGGAAAGUGCGUCUGGUAUUAAGUUAUCGGGCGUAUGAUCCUGGUCUUUUACUGUGAAAAAAUUAGAGUGUUUAAAGCAGGCCUUCGCCUUGAAUACAUUAGCAUGGAAUAAUAAGAUAGGACUUUGGUCUAUUUUGUUGGUUUGCAGACCGAAGUAAUGAUUAAUAGGGAUAGUUGUGGGUAUUUAUAUUCCGAUGUCAGAGGUGAAAUUCUUAGAUUUUCGGAAGAUAAACUUAUGCGAAAGCAUUUACCAAGGAUGUUUUCAUUA